rnacentral:rRNA from 1 species
CCUACGGGAGGCAGCAGUGGGGAAUUUUGGACAAUGGGCGCAAGCCUGAUCCAGCCAUGCCGCGUGCGGGAAGAAGGCCUUCGGGUUGUAAACCGCUUUUGUCAGGGAAGAAAAGGUUCUGGUUAAUACCUGGGACUCAUGACGGUACCUGAAGAAUAAGCACCGGCUAACUACGUGCCAGCAGCCGCGGUAAUACGUAGGGUGCAAGCGUUAAUCGGAAUUACUGGGCGUAAAGCGUGCGCAGGCGGUUAUGCAAGACAGAGGUGAAAUCCCCGGGCUCAACCUGGGAACUGCCUUUGUGACUGCAUAGCUAGAGUGCGGCAGAGGGGGAUGGAAUUCCGCGUGUAGCAGUGAAAUGCGUAGAUAUGCGGAGGAACACCGAUGGCGAAGGCAAUCCCCUGGGCCUGCACUGACGCUCAUGCACGAAAGCGUGGGGAGCAAACAGGAUUAGAUACCCUGGUAGUCCACGCCCUAAACGAUGUCAACUGGUUGUUGGGAGGGUUUCUUCUCAGUAACGUAGCUAACGCGUGAAGUUGACCGCCUGGGGAGUAACGGCCGCAAGGUUGAAACUUCAAAUGAAUUGACGGCUUGGNGAGNGCGAGCGACGACGAGGGAGAGG